rnacentral:rRNA from 1 species
AACGGCGAGUGAAGCGGGAAGAGCUCAAAUUUGAAAUCUUCAAGGUUCUACCUUGACGAAUUGUAGUUUAAAGAAGUGUUUUCUGUUAGAUGAGUAGCAAAAGUUCCUUGGAAUGGGACAUCAUAGAGGGUGAGAAUCCCGUAUUUGGUUAUUCAUUCUAGCUUUGUGAUACACUUUCAAAGAGUCGGAUUGUUUGGGAAUGCAGUCCAAAAUGGGUGGUAAAUUUCAUCUAAAGCUAAAUAUUGGCGAGAGACCGAUAGCGAACAAGUACCGUGAGGGAAAGAUGAAAAGAACUUUGAAAAGAGAGUUAAACAGUACGUGAAAUUGUCAAAAGGGAAGCGUUUGACACCAGUGUUGUUUUUCCGAAAAUCAAUUACGAAUGGCUUGAUUUUGUGUUGUAUUGACCUUAUCAGCUUUCUUCACUUUUUUCGAGUCUUUCUUAAUGCACUUUUCGGUUAACAAGUCAACAUCAAUUUCUUUUGUUGUAAAAGAGUAUUCGGAAGGUGGCUUUCUUUUCGGAGAAAGUGUUUAUAGCCCUAUACUUCUACAAUCGGAGAGAUUGAGGUCUGCAGCGUAGAUCCUUCGGGGUUAGAUACACUUGUGCUAAGUUGUAGCUUUUCAUAGACAACUUGUUGACUAUGUUUAGUCAUGCGGCUUACUCGCUUAUGCUAUUUACCUAC